AACGAACGCUGGCGGCAGGCUUAACACAUGCAAGUCGAACGCCCCGCAAGGGGAGUGGCAGACGGGUGAGUAACGCGUGGGAAUCUACCCAGAUCUUCGGAACAACUGAGGGAAACUUCAGCUAAUACCGGAUACGCCCUACGGGGGAAAGAUUUAUCGGUUCUGGAUGAGCCCGCGUUGGAUUAGCUAGUUGGUGGGGUAAUGGCCUACCAAGGCGACGAUCCAUAGCUGGUCUGAGAGGAUGAUCAGCCACACUGGGACUGAGACACGGCCCAGACUCCUACGGGAGGCAGCAGUGGGGAAUAUUGGACAAUGGGCGAAAGCCUGAUCCAGCCAUGCCGCGUGAGUGAUGAAGGCCUUAGGGUUGUAAAGCUCUUUCAGUAGGGAAGAUAAUGACGGUACCUACAGAAGAAGCCCCGGCUAACUUCGUGCCAGCCGCCGCCGUAAGAC
rnacentral:rRNA from 1 species